UCUGAUUUCAGGAUUUCAUGGCAAUCCCGCCAAUCGUCACAAUUUCCUUUUUUUAGGGUUAUGUUUAUUUUUCUUCAGGGAAGGAGUGUGUGAGAGAGAGAGAUGGAGUUCAGUAUCAGUGGCAAUGCGCUGAAGACCUUCGCUAGAUCUAUAACAUGCCUCGCACGCGUCGGCAACGAGCUCGUUGUUCAAGCUUCGCCGACACAGCUGGCAUUGCACACUUUAAAUGCUUCACGGUCUGCCUACCAGUGUAUUACAUUUCAGUCAAGUUUCUUCGAUGUAUGUACUGUUUCUGGUCCUCAAGCUCAUUUCAGUGUACUUUUGAAGGCUGUUUGUUCUGUUCUUAGGACUCCUCUCGCGAGCAUUGAUCACAUGAGUGUGCAGUUGCCAGAUCAUGAUGCAUCUAAGGUCAAAUGGACUUUGGAAUGUUUCAGUGGUAUGAAGAAAACAUAUUGGAUUACUUGCAAUGUGGAACCCGAUAUACAGCAUCUGUCGCUUGAUAGGAGUAGAUUUCCAAGUACCUUAGUUGUUCAUCCUCGAAAUCUGAGCAAGUUGCUUGGAAACUUUCAGUCAUCCCUCCAAGAGAUUACAAUAAUUGCUACAGACCAAGCUUCUUUUCCCUCUGAUGCUGCGAGUGAAAUAGGUGGAAAAGCUGUUGAGUUCCGGAGCUAUGUGGAUCCGAACAAAGAUGGCGACUCUUUGUUACACACUCAGCUAUGGAUAGAUCCAUCAGAAGAAUUUAUACAGUAUACUCAUGCAGGUGAUCCUGUUGACAUCACAUUUUCCCUGAAGGAACUAAAGGCAUUUCUUUCAUUCUGUGAGGGAUGUGAAGCCGACAUUCAUCUUUUCUUCGAAAAAUCUGGCGAACCAAUAUUGAUGGCUCCAAAAUUCGGGUUGGGUGAUGGGUCAAGCUCAAGUUUUGAUGCAACACUCGUUCUUGCGACAAUGCUUAUGUCUCAACUUCAGGAAGGGAUUCCGCAAGAACCUCCUGAAGCAGCAAAUUCCACAGGUAGUCAUGCUGCCGAGCAAGUAGGAUCACAGCCUCAUGAACGGUCUAGGCAGAAUGCCUCUGGGCACCCAUCUGAUCACACACGAGUUUGGUCUGAACUUUCAGCAGGAAUUGCCACUAAGAGUUCUGAGGAUAGGCCACAAGCUCAGGGACAACCAGACUUGGAUAUCCAAAGAAUUAGGGAUAUGGGAAUAUCAAAAGACGGGCCAGCUGGGAAUACUGCUCCUGCAGCUCCUAACUCCCAACGUCCCACACAGAUAGGUCACACUGAAGUAUCCCAAGGACGGGUACAGAACAACCAAACUUUCUCCCAGCGCCAUCCUAGUAAUUGGGUAGAUGUAAAUGAGGAUGAAGACGAUGAAGAAGGUGUUGAGGCGACGCCACCUCACAAUGAAGAUUAUUAACUCAUUCCGUUGAAGUUUUCUUCAACUCAUUCAACUGAAAAGGGAUCCGAAGAAGAUCAUGGAAACAGAACAGAACAUUUACGUGUUAGGUGCUUCAUCCACUACAAUCAAACUUGAUCCUUUCUUGGCUUAACUUCUGAAUGGCGUGCUGUGUUGUUCCAGUCAUGUUUGUUUGUUAUGCAUUUGCUUUCUCUAUCUAACUUGACAUAAAACUAGAAUGCCAACAAACCAUGAAUCUCUGCAUCUACACAUAAAUUCUUACUCCACCCAUCCUUUUGCUUUUCAUCCAACACACAACUUACAAAAGUGCCCAUACAUGUAUGUCAAACUUCAAAUACAUUAUCAUCUCUUUUUUACUUAGACCAUGAUUGUUUUAAAUACAAACGCAAACCUUUAUUUUGUCAGUUUGUUUAAAGGAAAACACAAUUAUGAGAGAAGGUUUUUUCAUGAAUUGAAUCCCCUAUAAAAAAGCAAAUGAGACAGAAUAAAAUGAGUCAUAAUUUCUAAAUGUUCUUCAAAGGUACCAACCACUCUAUCUCUCUUUAUAAGAUUAAAUAAGUAAAAGAUGGCGAACAAGUCCAAUAAAGGGACAAUUAUAAAAUUAUUUUUCUUUCUUUCUUCUUUUUAUAAUAAUCUUAUAGAAAUAUCAAACUUUGGGAAUUGGCUAUAAUAAUAUAGUCUUCGUUUUUAAUUUAAAGAGACCUCUCUCUUUUAAAAAAGAAAGGUUGGGUCUAGUUGAGAAAGAGGUUCUCCAUAACUUGGAAUCUUUGUUUUUCUUCUCUUUUUGAUUUCCUCAUCAUUGGUAUCUUAUUCGUGAUAGCCUCAUACAAAAAGUAAUGAGAUUUAGCUUUGCAUUACACUUUCGUGUUUAUGUAUAUUCUUAUUCAUAAAUUAUUUUCGGUUGCAUCAAUUAUUUCCGUGUGAUAAGUUUCAAUCUCGUGCUGUGUUUCUUGAAAACAAAAUAUAAACAUUUGUC